CGAAAACUUUUUUAAAAGUAUUUUUAUUGCUGUUAUAGAUCAACUUUAAUGAUUAUCAAGCCGUGAUCGCCUUUGUAAAUAUUGAAAGAACACACUGGAAGUUGCUGUACUUAUUUCCUGCUAUAAGAUCAGUAUUUUUGGUGGAUCCAGCGGCAAAUUCCAAAGAGAAAGCAGACUCGGAAAAUGCUGCGAAAAGAGUACGGGAAUACUUCAAGAUGAGGAGGACCUGCUAUGGCAAGGAGGACUGUCAAAUGGAGAGGAGCAACCAUGCACCAUCCAGUUCAACGUGAUGGCAGUAGCUGUGGGGUCAUUGUUACCAUGAUGGCAAGAGCAGUGAUGGAGGCCUUUCCUGCAUUACCAAUUAUGUCCUUUGGGACAUCCAAAAAGGAGAUGGCUUGUG